UAGGAUAGAGGCCUACCAUGGUGGUAACGGGUAACGGGGUGUUAGGGCACGACACCGGAGAGGGAGCCUGAGAAACGGCUACCACAUCCAAGGAUGGCAGCAGGCGCGCAAAUUACCCAAUCCCGACACGGGGAGGUAGUGACAAUAAAUAACAAUACGGGGUUCUUUAGGAUCUCGUAAUUGGAAUGAGUACAAUUUAAAUCUCUUAACGAGGAACAAUUGGUGGGCAAGUCUGGUGCCAGCAGCCGCGGUAAUUCCAGCUCCAAUAGCGUAUAUUAAAGUUGUUGCAGUUAAAAAGCUCGUAGUUGAAUUUCGGGGUUAGUAGGUUGGUCAUGCCUCUGGUAUGUACUGGUCUCACUGAUUCCUCCUUCCUUAUGAACCGUAAUGCCAUUAAUUUGGUGUUGCGGGGAAUUUGGACUGUUACUUUGAAAAAAUUAGAGUGUUUAAAGCAAGCUAACGCUUGAAUACAUUAGCAUGGAAUAAUGAAAUAGGACGUUCGAUCUUAUUUUGUUGGUUUCUAGGAUUGACGUAAUGAUUAAUAGGGAUAGUUGGGGGCAUUAGUAUUCAAUUGUCAGAGGUGAAAUUCUUGGAUUUAUUGAAGACUAACUACUGCGAAAGCAUUUGCCAAGGAUGUUUUCAUUAACCAAGAACGAAAGUUAGGGGAUCGAAGACGAUCAGAUACCGUCGUAGUCUUAACCAUAAACUAUGCCGACUAGGGAUCGGAUGA
rnacentral:rRNA from 1 species